rnacentral:lncRNA from 11 species
UUGUGUCACAAUGAAUGGGCCAGGGAUGAUUCUCUCCCUUGAGCUCAGUUGGCCAGAAGGCGAAGUAGGAGACAUGGAGAUCUUGCUACCAAUGCUGCUCUUGAUAGCCUUGCUAUGUCUCGUGCCAGGACUGGACGGGGCCCCGAUUCCCAAUCUGCACCGGGAUUUUCAAAAUGUUCAACAUUUACAGAUUUCCAUCGAACCAAUGGCGACGGUACAUAUUUCGGCAGGGCAACAAGGCGGCCAGAAGAGAUCAGAACGACCAGAGGGAUCAGGAUCACAGAGAUUGGAGACGACCGGAACCGAAGUACAUCACACCCCAACGACAACAGCUUUUUGGAGACUGCGGAAUGACAAAAUUGCCACCAUCGUGCUGCACAAGGACACAACCACCACCCAAGAGACCACCACUCAAGAGGUUCCCCAGAAUGGGAUAACUCUUUCUGUCACAGAAGAACCCGUGAUCAGCAUUCUGCCACAGAAGGUGGAGGUCAGCUUUGAGACAUCACCCUCGAGGCCUCAGAGUGAUAUACAUGGCACCAUCAUUCUGCGUCCGGACACGCCUGCUGUGGCCGAGGUCGUCUCUCCAAAAGUCACCCAUCACGUAAUGAGCGCAUCGGUUGCCAUCUAUUCUUCCCAUUCAGAAAAGCCACCGAAAAAUAACAACAUAGCCAUAGUGAAAACCAAUCAUUUCACCUGGAAUCAUAAAUCUUCCAGAGGAGACAUCAUGGGCUUGAUUGAUGUCUUGACCAAAAUGUUAAGGAAUACUCCGGUGGUUGUUAAAAUUGACCCAGACUUCAACACAAAGCUCGAGAAUGUCAAAGAUUACCUGAGAGAGAUGCUGGCGCUGGUGAAAAAUGCGGAGAAUAAGCUGGUCAAGGGUUUCAAACAGAAGCAGGAGGAGGUGGCCAAUGACACCAUCGUGCCUUCGCCCCCGGCCACCACGGUGUCGUUGACGAUCCACGUGGAGACACCCACCACCCCUGACUCGACAGACCUCAAGUUGGCCCAACUGCAAAUGGAAUUGGCGAAGCUCAAAUCAUUUUUGAGAGUGCUGGAUCAUUUCACUGCCCGACUAAGUUCCUUUGUGCGAAAUUCUCCAAAUAGAAAAGCAUCCAAAGAGAUUGUGGACAAAGCGAUAGCCAUCCUGAAGACCAUCAAGGCUGUGUUCUGUGAAAAUCCAAACCGUCAGACCCAACAGGUGCUGAAGGAUCUGAUAGAUAAAGAGAUGCAGCUUCUAAAACAAGCCAAGAGGGAAGCCAGGGUUUUGUAAGCAUUUCCCAUCAAGAGACAUGUACAACAGGCAAAAAUCUUUCGUUUUUUAGUAUUCUUGCCUUGGCUCUCUGGCUGACAGCUUUUUCUAAAAAUCCCCCUAACUUUAAUCCAGUUCCCACUCCCUGACCUGAUCCCAACUAUCUCUACAUUCUUUCCUAUACCUACUCCCCUCUCACUUACUCUGCUC